rnacentral:rRNA from 1 species
AGUGGCGGACGGGUGAGUAACGCGUGGGUCCCCUGCCAUAUACAGGGGGAUAACACUUAGAAAUAGGUGCUAAUACCGCAUAAGCGCACGGAGCUGCAUGGCUCAGUGUGAAAAACUCCGGUGGUAUAUGAUGGACCCGCGUCUGAUUAGCUUGUUGGCGGGGUAACGGCCCACCAAGGCGACGAUCAGUAGCCGGCCUGAGAGGGUGGACGGCCACAUUGGGACUGAGACACGGCCCAAACUCCUACGGGAGGCAGCAGUGGGGAAUAUUGGACAAUGGGGGGAACCCUGAUCCAGCGACGCCGCGUGAGUGAAGAAGUAUUUCGGUAUGUAAAGCUCUAUCAGCAGGGAAGAAAGAAAUGACGGUACCUGACCAAGAAGCCCCGGCUAACUACGUGCCAGCAGCCGCGGUAAUACGUAGGGGGCAAGCGUUAUCCGGAUUUACUGGGUGUAAAGGGAGCGUAGACGGUAAUGCAAGUCUGGAGUGAAAUGCAGGGGCUCAACCCCUGAACUGCUUUGGAAACUGUAUGACUGGAGUGCAGGAGGGGUAAGUGGAAUUCCUAGUGUAGCGGUGAAAUGCGUAGAUAUUAGGAGGAACACCAGUGGCGAAGGCGGCUUACUGGACUGUAACUGACGUUGAGGCUCGAAAGCGUGGGGAGCAAACAGGAUUAGAUACCCUGGUAGUCCACGCCGUAAACGAUGAUCACUAGGUGUCGGGGGGCACGGCCCCCCGGUGCCGCAGCAAACGCAGUAAGUAUUCCACCUGGGGAGUACG